rnacentral:rRNA from 1 species
GUGACCGUACCUCCGGAGGAAGACACGGUUAACUACGUGCCAGCAGCCGCGUUAAUACGUAGGUGGCGAGCGUUGUCCGGAAUCACUGGGAGUAAAGGGCGCGCAGGCUGCGUGUCAAGUCGGACGUGAAAACCCCUGGCUCAACUGGGGGAUGACGUUCGAAACUGGCAUGCUUGAGUGCAGGAAAGGGAAGCGUAAUUCCCGGUGUAGCGGUGAAAUGCUUAAAUAUCGGGAGGAACACCAGUGGAUAAGGCGGCUUCCUGGACUGUAACUGACGCUGAGGCGCGAAUGCUGGGGGAGCGAACAGGAUUAGAUACCCUGGUAGUCCCGGCCGUAAACGAUGAACACUAGGUGUGGGAGGUAUCGACCCCUCCCGUGCCGCAGCAAACGCAUUAAGUGUUCCGCCUGGGGAGUACGGCCGCUGGGCUA